UUAAGUUAUUAAGGGCGCACGGUGGAUGCCUUGGCACUAGAAGCCGAUGAAGGACGUUACUAACGACGAUAUGCUUUGGGGAGCUGUAAGUAAGCUUUGAUCCAGAGAUUUCCGAAUGGGGAAACCCAGCAUGAGUUAUGUCAUGUUAUCGAUAUGUGAAUACAUAGCAUAUCAGAAGGCACACCCGGAGAACUGAAACAUCUUAGUACCCGGAGGAAGAGAAAGAAAAUUCGAUUCCCUUAGUAGCGGCGAGCGAAACGGGAAGAGCCCAAACCAACAAGCUUGCUUGUUGGGGUUGUAGGACACUCUAUACGGAGUUACAAAGGACGACAUUAGACGAAUCAUCUGGAAAGAUGAAUCAAAGAAGGUAAUAAUCCUGUAGUCGAAAAUGUUGUCUCUCUUGAGUGGAUCCUGAGUACGACGGAGCACGUGAAAUUCCGUCGGAAUCUGGGAGGACCAUCUCCUAAGGCUAAAUACUCUCUAGUGACCGAUAGUGAACCAGUACCGUGAGGGAAAGGUGAAAAGCACCCCGGAAGGGGAGUGAAAUAGAACCUGAAACCGUGUGCUUACAAGUAGUCAGAGCCCGUUAAUGGGUGAUGGCGUGCCUUUUGUAGAAUGAACCGGCGAGUUACGAUUUGAUGCAAGGUUAAGCAGUAAAUGUGGAGCCGUAGCGAAAGCGAGUCUGAAUAGGGCGUUUAGUAUUUGGUCGUAGACCCGAAACCAGGUGAUCUACCCUUGGUCAGGUUGAAGUUCAGGUAACACUGAAUGGAGGACCGAACCGACUUACGUUGAAAAGUGAGCGGAUGAACUGAGGGUAGCGGAGAAAUUCCAAUCGAACCUGGAGAUAGCUGGUUCUCUCCGAAAUAGCUUUAGGGCUAGCCUCAAGUGAUGAUUAUUGGAGGUAGAGCACUGUUUGGACGAGGGGCCCCUCUCGGGUUACCGAAUUCAGACAAACUCCGAAUGCCAAUUAAUUUAACUUGGGAGUCAGAACAUGGGUGAUAAGGUCCGUGUUCGAAAGGGAAACAGCCCAGACCACCAGCUAAGGUCCCAAAAUAUAUGUUAAGUGGAAAAGGAUGUGGCGUUGCCCAGACAACUAGGAUGUUGGCUUAGAAGCAGCCAUCAUUUAAAGAGUGCGUAAUAGCUCACUAGUCGAGUGACACUGCGCCGAAAAUGUACCGGGGCUAAACAUAUUACCGAAGCUGUGGAUUGUCCUUUGGACAAUGGUAGGAGAGCGUUCUAAGGGCGUUGAAGCAUGAUCGUAAGGACAUGUGGAGCGCUUAGAAGUGAGAAUGCCGGUGUGAGUAGCGAAAGACGGGUGAGAAUCCCGUCCACCGAUUGACUAAGGUUUCCAGAGGAAGGCUCGUCCGCUCUGGGUUAGUCGGGUCCUAAGCUGAGGCCGACAGGCGUAGGCGAUGGAUAACAGGUUGAUAUUCCUGUACCACCUAUAAUCGUUUUAAUCGAUGGGGGGACGCAGUAGGAUAGGCGAAGCGUGCGAUUGGAUUGCACGUCUAAGCAGUAAGGCUGAGUAUUAGGCAAAUCCGGUACUCGUUAAGGCUGAGCUGUGAUGGGGAGAAGACAUUGUGUCUUCGAGUCGUUGAUUUCACACUGCCGAGAAAAGCCUCUAGAUAGAAAAUAGGUGCCCGUACCGCAAACCGACACAGGUAGUCAAGAUGAGAAUUCUAAGGUGAGCGAGCGAACUCUCGUUAAGGAACUCGGCAAAAUGACCCCGUAACUUCGGGAGAAGGGGUGCUCUUUAGGGUUAACGCCCAGAAGAGCCGCAGUGAAUAGGCCCAAGCGACUGUUUAUCAAAAACACAGGUCUCUGCUAAACCGUAAGGUGAUGUAUAGGGGCUGACGCCUGCCCGGUGCUGGAAGGUUAAGAGGAGUGGUUAGCUUCUGCGAAGCUACGAAUCGAAGCCCCAGUAAACGGCGGCCGUAACUAUAACGGUCCUAAGGUAGCGAAAUUCCUUGUCGGGUAAGUUCCGACCCGCACGAAAGGCGUAACGAUUUGGGCACUGUCUCAACGAGAGACUCGGUGAAAUCAUAGUACCUGUGAAGAUGCAGGUUACCCGCGACAGGACGGAAAGACCCCGUGGAGCUUUACUGUAGCCUGAUAUUGAAAUUCGGCACAGCUUGUACAGGAUAGGUAGGAGCCUUUGAAACGUGAGCGCUAGCUUACGUGGAGGCGCUGGUGGGAUACUACCCUAGCUGUGUUGGCUUUCUAACCCGCACNNNNNNNNNNACUUAUCGUGGUGGGAGACAGUGUCAGGCGGGCAGUUUGACUGGGGCGGUCGCCUCCUAAAAGGUAACGGAGGCGCUCAAAGGUUCCCUCAGAAUGGUUGGAAAUCAUUCAUAGAGUGUAAAGGCAUAAGGGAGCUUGACUGCGAGACCUACAAGUCGAGCAGGGUCGAAAGACGGACUUAGUGAUCCGGUGGUUCCGCAUGGAAGGGCCAUCGCUCAACGGAUAAAAGCUACCCCGGGGAUAACAGGCUUAUCUCCCCCAAGAGUUCACAUCGACGGGGAGGUUUGGCACCUCGAUGUCGGCUCAUCGCAUCCUGGGGCUGUAGUCGGUCCCAAGGGUUGGGCUGUUCGCCCAUUAAAGCGGUACGCGAGCUGGGUUCAGAACGUCGUGAGACAGUUCGGUCCCUAUCCGUCGUGGGCGUAGGAAAUUUGAGAGGAGCUGUCCUUAGUACGAGAGGACCGGGAUGGACAUACCUCUGGUGUACCAGUUGUCGUGCCAACGGCAUAGCUGGGUAGCUAUGUGUGGACGGGAUAAGUGCUGAAAGCAUCUAAGCAUGAAGCCCCCCUCAAGAUGAGAUUUCCCAACUUCGGUUAUAAGAUCCCUCAAAGAUGAUGAGGUUAAUAGGUUCGAGGUGGAAGCAUGGUGACAUGUGGAGCUGACGAAUACUAAUCGAUCGAAGACUUAAUCAA
rnacentral:rRNA from 1 species